rnacentral:rRNA from 1 species
UACGUAGGGUGCAAGCGUUGUCCGGAAUUAUUGGGCGUAAAGAGCUCGUAGGCGGUCUGUCGCGUCUGCUGUGAAAACUCGGGGCUUAACCCCGGACCUGCAGUGGGUACGGGCAGACUAGAGUGUGGUAGGGGAGACUGGAAUUCCUGGUGUAGCGGUGAAAUGCGCAGAUAUCAGGAGGAACACCGAUGGCGAAGGCAGGUCUCUGGGCCAUAACUGACGCUGAGAAGCGAAAGCAUGGGGAGCGAACAGG